rnacentral:rRNA from 1 species
CCGCCUGGGGAGUACGGCCGCAAGGCUAAAACUCAAAGAAAUUGACGGGGGCCCGCACAAGCGGCGGAGCAUGUGGAUUAAUUCGAUGCAACGCGAAGAACCUUACCUGGGUUUGACAUGCACAGGACGUGCCUAGAGAUAGGUAUUCCCUUGUGGCCUGUGUGCAGGUGGUGCAUGGCUGUCGUCAGCUCGUGUCGUGAGAUGUUGGGUUAAGUCCCGCAACGAGCGCAACCCUCGUCCUAUGUUGCCAGCGGGUUAUGCCGGGGACUCGUAGGAGACUGCCGGGGUCAACUCGGAGGAAGGUGGGGAUGACGUCAAGUCAUCAUGCCCCUUAUGUCCAGGGCUUCACACAUGCUACAAUGGCCGGUACAAAGGGCUGCGAUGCCGUGAGGUGGAGCGAAUCCUUUCAAAGCCGGUCUCAGUUCGGAUCGGGGUCUGCAACUCGACCCCGUGAAGUCGGAGUCGCUAGUAAUCGCAGAUCA